AGUGAACGCUGGCGGUAGGCCUAACACAUGCAAGUCGAACGGCAGCACAGUAAGAGCUUGCUCUUACGGGUGGCGAGUGGCGGACGGGUGAGGAAUACAUCGGAAUCUACUUUUUCGUGGGGGGUAACGUAGGGAAACUUACGCUAAUACCGCAUACGACCUACGGGUGAAAGCAGGGGAUCUUCGGACCUCGCGCGAUUGAAUGAGCCGAUGUCGGAUUAGCUAGUUGGCGGGGUAAAGGCCCACCAAGGCGACGAUCCGUAGCUGGUCUGAGAGGAUGAUCAGCCACACUGGAACUGAGACACGGUCCAGACUCCUACGGGAGGCAGCAGUGGGGAAUAUUGGACAAUGGGCGCAAGCCUGAUCCAGCCAUACCGCGUGGGUGAAGAAGGCCUUCGGGUUGUAAAGCCCUUUUGUUGGGAAAGAAAAGCAGCAGGUUAAUACCCCGCUGUUCUGACGGUACCCAAAGAAUAAGCACCGGCUAACUUCGUG
rnacentral:rRNA from 1 species